GUGAACGCUGGCGGUAGGCCUAACACAUGCCAGUCGAACGGCAGCACAGUAAGAGCUUGCUCUUACGGGUGGCGAGUGGCGGACGGGUGAGGAAUACAUCGGAAUCUACUUUUUCGUGGGGGAUAACGUAGGGAAACUUACGCUAAUACCGCAUACGACCUACGGGGGAAAGCAGGGGAUCUUCGGACCUUGCGCGAUUGAAUGAGCCGAUGUCGGAUUAGCUAGUUGGCGGGGUAAAGGCCCACCAAGGCGACGAUCCGUAGCUGGUCUGAGAGGAUGAUCAGCCACACUGGAACUGAGACACGGUCCAGACUCCUACGGGAGGCAGCAGUGGGGAAUAUUGGACAAUGGGCGCAAGCCUGAUCCAGCCAUACCGCGUGGGUGAAGAAGGCCUUCGGGUUGUAAAGCCCUUUUGUUGGGAAAGAAAAGCAGCAGGUUAAUACCCCGCUGUUCUGACGGUACCCAAAGAAUAAGCACCGGCUAACUUCGU
rnacentral:rRNA from 1 species